rnacentral:rRNA from 1 species
CGAAAGCCUGACGGAGCAACGCCGCGUGUGGGAAGAAGGCCUUUGGGCUGUCAACCACUUUUCUCAGGGAAGAAGUUCUGACGGUACCUGAGGAAUCAGCCUCGGCUAACUCCGUGCCAGCAGCCGCGGUAAUACGGAGAAGGCAAGCGUUAUCCGGAAUCAUUGGGCGUAAAGCGUUCGUAGGCGGCUGUUCAAGUCUGCUGUCAAAGACCGAGGCUCAACCUCGGGUCGGCAGUGGAAACUGGAUAGCUAGAGGUCGGUAGGGGCAAAGGGAAUUCCCAGUGUAGCGGUGAAAUGCGUAGAUAUUGGGAAGAACACCGGUGGCGAAAGCGCUCUACUGGACCAUCCCUGACACUCAGAGGACGAAAGCUAGGGGAGCG